CGCGAAUCGUUUUUCCGCCUACUGACUCCCACUCACCACUACGAAUAGGUGAAACCCUCACUUUUUCCCCAUCGCUCGUCUCUCUCAUGUGCGGCGGCGGCGGCGCAUCUAGCAGAGAGGCCACGAGAGGUGAUUUGAAGCCAUAAAUCCUAUUCUCUUCUUUAUAAGCAGUCUGUAGCAGAGUACUGUGAGUAUAGCUUGGAGCAGUGCACCUUCAAUCUGAGGUGAUUAUUGCUGGAGGAAGCAUGGCCACAGGGCAAUAUGCAAAAUGCUCAAAUGACCCUCUUGGUACAAAAGUGAUUAAUCUUGAAGAAGACAUAGCCAAGAAACCCCUACUUGAAGAGCCCAAACCAAAAAAAAGCAAUAGAUGGACUUUGGGAGAACAAGAAAGUACUCCCAGAUUUUAGUUUGGAUUUCCUUGCUCUUUACUAUGGUCUUUGGGAGAACAUGAAUGAUGGUGAUUGCAUAUGUGAUGAUUAAGUUGUACUUUUGAUGACAACCAAGAGAAUUACUAUGGGUUGUAUAACUAUUAGGUUUUAGUACUCUGCACUGUUGAACUAUGAGUUGUAUGCACUUGGGUAAAUGUCAAAUGCUGAACUAGUAUAUGUGGCCGAGUUCAAAUUAGU